ensembl:lncRNA
GAAUACUUGUCCACGCUUAUGCAUGCAUGUAUCGGGCCAGCGCCUGAGCAGCAGAAUGGGGAUUUCUUCAUUACGUGGCGGCCGGUCGAGCCGCCACGCCGGCCGCAUAUCAAUGCGCUCAUCAACGGGCGCUUUUACGUGACGGGAGCGCUAAUCCGCUGGCCGAGCCGCGGUGGAGUGGGGCGUCUCUCUGACGCCGCGCUCCUGAUACCCAGGCCUUCAUUAUCUUAUUAUUCUGAAGAGGCAACAGAAAGAGAAGGAGGGCAAAAAAAAUCAAUAUUCACCUUUCUCUUGUCUGAAGUGCAACGGCGGUGGAACAGUCCUUCCCCUGCCCUCUGUCUGAAGUUUCACGUGGCGCACGAGCGGUAAGCGAUGGCGACGCAGACGAGCGGUACCAUCCGCGCAGUAAUUAACCCGAAGACGCUGGAUAAAAGUAGAUUCAUUUAAUUAGACGAAUGUGGUGGGAGGAUAUGACACGGUUUAGUGAAAGACCGAGCUCACUUAAUGACUCGACUUCAACGGAGCAUGUAAUUCUUUUUUUGCAUCUUAUUCAGGAGCUUGUUCACAUCAAAUCGUUAAUUAUCCUCGUAACGUAAAGGUGACUGUUCUAGUAAUAAGGGCGAGAACCGUUCGACCGUGUCGACUCGAGUUGAAACGAAACAUCCUUCAGAAACACGGACUAUCAAAUCGGAGCGGCGGGAACGUGGAGACUGCCAGGGCUCACCGCUCAGUGAGAGACGGACGGACUGGGAGAUCUGUCCGGGUUUAACCCUGACGCUCGUAUGUUUUGGACCGUGAGCAGAUCCUUUCUCUCUCCAUACUUUAUCCUUCAAUCACUUUUGUCGAGGUUGCAGAACUUCCGUGGCUCAUCUCUGUAUUUCUUUGCGAAUCCCAAUUUGGCUUUCCGAUUAAUUACUGCUGAUGAGUGGUUUGCAUCUCGAGGUACGUCAUCCUUGAACCCCCGUCCUGUGGCGCUCGUUGAGGUUUUUCUUCCCGGCGCUCACAACGUUUUGUCAUCAGCUGCUUUUGUUUUCCUCGGCCGACCCGUCCGGUGUCUGUCGCUCGGUGGCUUCUUUCUUUUUCCGGAUGUUCCAAAUCGUCGUAUCGGCUACACUCGGUGUUUCUGCAGCGCAAAAAAAGAUUUCCCCUCUUUUCUCGGCUUCGGAACGGCUUGCGUUCCGCCCAUGGACCGCUCCCCGAUCUUCAUGUUGGUUUAUCCUUUUUAAAACCAGUGCAGUCUUCACGGGCAAAAGCGACGGCUUAAAACGUUCCCAGCUGUCUGUCGUAUAAACAGUUCAUCUUUUGAUCGCAAAUCCGCUCGAAGUCUCGCCAUUCCGGUCGUUUCGGAGGGGGCUGUAUAAGCUUGUAAGCUCUCGGAGAUGUCUUUCGUCGUCGCACCACCAUCGCUGACGUCGUCUCCGCGUUAAACAUGCCGUGGCAUUUCCAAUCAUCUCUGAACUUCAGAAGCGGCGAGACAUCGCCC